GUGUUUCUGAAGUUUGUUAAACCUACUUAAUUAGGUCUAACGUUCUUGACCAUAUGCGGCCUUGAGACUGGAGUACCCUGGGACAGGAAAUUGGGAAAACUAAAAAAUAGAAAACUCCAGCUGACUUGACGGAUGUUGACAGUAACACAGUGCUUGCAAAUGGGGUCUUGAGUGCAGCUCAGGUGUGUCCGGAAUUGGAUUAACUCCGAGUGCUUCUCAGAAAUGCAUAGAUGAGGUUCUGGAUCUGGCAACCGCUGCAGCUGAUCCUACUGGCACCUUUACCCAGGCCACCAAGCCAUAGGCUAAUCAGGUUUCCUGUCUACUACAUGACAUUAUAUCUGGAUCUUCUCUCUAUCAAAAGAUCGUCCUUAAUCUAGAUCAUCGUAUUAAAGCGAUGACACUCCAGCGUAAUGCCUCGGGAAGAUCUCAGCUGAGGAGCUGAGGAGUCGGGGCUCACAACCCUAAGAGUGGGUCAAGGUGGGCAUGGAUGAGGAGAUCAGGCAUAAAGUGGGAAGAGAGGUUUCGGCUGGCACCCCCUACGUCCCAGCCCCCGGUGCCCGUUGGCAGCCACUGGUGGCAGAGGUGGCGGCAGCAGAGGGCUUGUGGUUGGAGGGACCACCCUGCCAUGGUGAGUAAUUCCCCCGGUGUUUUGUGUAGACUGAGCCACGUUGCAGCCUGGCAUGGCUCCUCGUGCCCAUUCUUAGUCAACAGGAUUAGGCUUGCUUAGCGCGAGCUCUCCGGGAUCACCUAUACUCUGUAUUGUACUCUCAGAAUGCUGGCUUGCCAGUUUGGCUCGCCCAUUUGGCGACGAAUGCUCGUUUCUGUUCUUGUCUUCCUUAUUCAAAUAAACACACAUUUCUGCCCCUCAAGCAGAGGGUGGGGGAUUGAGAGGUGGCGGAGGCCAAUCACAUCCUUGUCUAAACCGGAGAUUUGGGUUCAUUUGCCAUGCAAUUUAUAAACAGGGAUUAAUUGGAAAUUAACGCAAGGACAACACGUGUUUUGUACCUUUUUCGGCCUUUCCGUAGUGCGUAAUCUACAGUGAGGGGGCACGCCAGGGACUUCUCAAACAAAUCUAUGUAACCGAAAAACUCAGACAAAAUAACGCAUUACGUAGC